CCUACCUGUCCUUCACUCUAGAGCUUUCUGGGCAAAGGGCACAAGAGGGGAGACCCUCGCACGAUAAGACCCAUUUGUUCCUGGGGAAUGAGAGCAGAAGGGAGAGUAUAACAGAGACAAGAGUGGCAGAGGCUGCCCAUGUCAGCAAGCCCCAGAUGGCAAGGAGUGCGGGUGAAACACUCCGGGACCAUGGAGCGAGGGGAAACUGCAAAGCAGGCAGAGGGACACGGCCUAGCUACUGUCCAGAAGCCUUGGUCAUGGCUGGGGCCCGACUGGCCAGAGCAUACAACGGCUGUCUGGAGGAGGUGGGGUCUCUGAAGACCAGGAGGGACAUCUGACCCGUCCUUCUGCCAAGGCUGCCAUACUCAACACCCUGCAGGGCUCAUCUCUGAGCCUCUGUGCAUGCUGUUCCUUUGCCUGAUAUGACUCCACCUUCUCUAACCUGCAGACUGUUCUUCGUCCUUCAAGACCAGCUGAUAUGUUAUCUCCACUGGGAAGACUCCUACUGUACAUGAGGCCUGCUUCACCCAAACUCCCUAAACCAUAGGAGAACUCAUUGGCUGAUCCCUAGCUCCUUGAUUGACUUGGG
rnacentral:lncRNA from 1 species